CACACAACAGGGAAACCACUGUUUUUUUUAAGUUGCUCUGGAGAUUGGUAGGGAGCAGCAAAGCAGAGGAAGUCUGGUGGCAGAAUUGAUUUGGGAGGUCAGAAGUUUUGGUUGAUUGAGUUUGGGAAUCCAAACCCUAGAGGUCCCACUGGUGGGGGCAUAAAAGGUUGGACAAAAAGAGAAAGAAGGUUCUAUUCAGCAAACAAAAGGUGGAGUUGAUGGAAAGGCAAAUGGCAUUUGAAAAGUCAUGGAAAAAGGAGCCUUAAGGAUAUUUUGAUAGCAUAUAAUUAACUGUAAAGGAUUUCAGAGGGCC